CUGGUGACAGAAGACAAUGUAAACACUAAGGCCUAACCACGGAGUUGUUUCUACAGCGAUGUUAUGUUGGAACAGUUGGGCUGUGUGCUGUCAAUAUAAAUGAAUGUUACUAUAGUAACACAGAGGUGUAGGAAGGCUACGGGGUUGUUUUGUUACUCAGUGGGACCUUAUUGUUUUAUCAUUUCCUUAGGUUAUUUUGUCCAAUUCUGUUAUUUAUUCAGUGUGUGGGGGGGGGGUCAUGAAUUAUAACCUAAAUCAUUACUGUCUCUUCUUUCAGAACAUUAUUCAUAUGUUUGUAGGAUAGUAUCUAAAUCAAGUGACUUUCCUGUUAGCUUGUAUGUGUCAUCAGGAAUGUGAUGCAAAACUGCAAUAUGACACGGCGAAAGACAGUUUUAUGGCAAGUGGGGCUCUUUAUGUUGGGUAUACAGUUUGCAUAUGGAGGGUGGAGACCGACUAAGGCGGAAAAGGGGGAGGUCAAAAGGGGGGUGAGUGUAACGGAUGUGAAACGGCUAGCUUAGUUAGCUGUGGUGUGCGCUAAAUAGCGUUUCAAUCGGUGACGUCACUUGCUCUGAGACUGUAAUAGCUCACCUUAGUUAAUGAAGUGAUUAAGCCAGUGCUGGUUUUAUGGACCGCUUUACGUUAUAUCUUUGAAGCAGAGACACUGUAGGUGAUAAAAGUGAAAACCGUCAAAGAGAUGGUUGAUUCUCUCUGGCUUCAGUAGAGGCACUACAAUUUGAAUAAUUGACAACAAAGGAUGUAAUCUGAACUGUUUAUCCCCUGAGAUGGAGAUUUUCUAUGGCUGUUUAUUUUGUGUGUUUUGUCUUGAAAAGUAACAGACUAUAGAAGGAAUGUUAAAGAUAAUGUCUGUGUUGAUGUAUUGUCUGUGUCAUGAAACUUCAAUCAUGAAGGAAGACUGUUGGGUAACCGGCCAAGUGGCCUGCGGUGGCCUGCGGGAGCAUCGUCAUUAUGAUGUCAUAACUCCUUCCUGUCUCAGUGCCGGGUUGAGACCCUGCACUCUAAAACACCCUCCUUUCCUAAAGUCCUCUCUGCUUGUCCUCUUCUGUAGUGUCAUCAUUUUCAGACCAAUGAGAUAUAAGGAAAUGGGACACGAGAAAAUAAUUUACAUAGAAAGACUGGCUGGUGAUCUGAGAGAUCCUAAAAUGUGGGUCUCUCAGAUUUCAGGUUUUGCUUCUGCGUCCACUUGAUACACAGUCUGUUUUUCUUCUAUAUAUUUGUUGCUCAGGGUUUGUAGUGCGUUGGAAGAUACCGGACAUGGGAUUUCAGAGCUGGUUAGCCGACAUAGACGGGUAUUCUCCAGAUUGCGUUUUUAAGAAAAGAUGCAGAUUUAUUUUAGAAAAUAUAUAGUUAUUCAGUGAUUGUGACUUUUUUUUAUGUGUAC
ensembl:lncRNA